rnacentral:rRNA from 1 species
CCUACGGGAGGCAGCAGUGAGGAAUAUUGGUCAAUGGUCGGGAGACUGAACCAGCCAAGCCGCGUGAGGGAGGAAGGUACAGAGUAUCGUAAACCUCUUUUGUCAGGGAACAAAGGCGGGGACGUGUCCCCGGAUGAGUGUACCUGAAGAAAAAGCAUCGGCUAACUCCGUGCCAGCAGCCGCGGUAAUACGGAGGAUGCGAGCGUUAUCCGGAUUUAUUGGGUUAAAAGGGUGCGCAGGCGGCCUGUUAAGUCAGCGGUAAAAGCCCGGGGUUCAACCCCGGCCCGCCGUUGAAACUGGCAGUCUCGAGUUGGAGAGAAGUAUGCGGAAUGCGCGGUGUAGCGGUGAAAUGCAUAGAUAUCGCGCAGAACUCCGAUUGCGAAGGCAGCAUGCCGGCUCCACACUGACGCUGAGGCACGAAAGCGUGGGUAUCGAACAGGAUUAGAUACCCCAGUAGUC